UCCUGCUGUACCCUUGCUGUCCCAAAUUCAGCCGGUAGAUCUCCAGCAUCAGCCUCUUAUCGGUCAAGAUAUUUCCCCUAGUGGCGGGAAUCGUGUAGAUAAGCCAGCCGAUGGGUUUGUGAAGUUGCUUACCAUGACACCUCAAGAAAAAAUUGAAAAACUUAGAAGAAGGCAACAGAUGCAGGCAAUGCUUGCCAUUCAAAAACAACAGCAACAGUUCAAUAAUCAAGUCUCUACUACUAGUCAAUGUAUUUCUCCGAAAUGUCCCCAAG
rnacentral:misc_RNA from 1 species